rnacentral:lncRNA from 1 species
GGCCUUAUACAAUCCUUAGUAUCGACAUUAAAUCUAACAUAUAACCUACAAUGUGGAAGAAAUUUCAAAAGAAAUAAUGACAAAAAACGCAGAUGCAUCAAUAAACUUAUUGCACCCUAGUCUUUCCUCUUGGCAAAAUCUACUAGUCCAGCUAAAAAUGCUCCAUCAAUUGCUAGAAGUUGGCUGCAUCUCAGAAGGUACCUAAUAAUUUGCCAACCAAAACUAGAGCCAAGGUGAGCGGUUAGCAUCAGCACUUGCCACCUUCUAUCUUGCACACAAACUAUUGAUCACCACGUGACCAAGCAUAAUGACCAAAAGUAUUGGUGCCUAAUCUGGCCAUCCCUCCACUUUAGCUUGGUAGGAGAACGUCCAUAAUGCACCCCGUCACUGCAUCUGUUAUCACAGUGCCAUGGAUAAGUCAUGUCGAAAUCAUCAAUGACUUGAUCAACUAAACUAUAUGCCCUAAACUUAUCCGAGACUAUCUCAUUGAAGGCUUCCAUUUUAUUUGGAUUGAAAUCUCAUGUACUAGAGUCUCCACCAGCGACGACCAUAGUCCUAUAUAUGACUUUUGGUGGUGUC